rnacentral:rRNA from 1 species
UACGUAGGGUGCGAGCGUUAAUCGGAAUUACUGGGCGUAAAGCGUGCGCAGGCGGUUCGUUGUGUCGGCGGUGAAAGCCCCGGGCUCAACCUGGGAAUGGCCGUUGAAACUGGCGAACUGGAGUGUGGCAGAGGGGGGUGGAAUCCGCGUGUAGCAGUGAAAUGCGUAGAGAUGCGGAGGAACACCGAUGGCGAAGGCAGCCCCCUGGGCUGACACUGACGCUCAGGCACGAAAGCGUGGGGAGCAAACAGG